UUUACUUACACAUAACAUAAACUAAAUCUAUAAUAAAACUAUUACAAUUCCAAAUCAAAGCAAACUAAGAAUUAUAACAAACCAAAUUAAAAUAUAUAAAGUUCAUCUUAAUUUAUUAAAAUAUGGAUCAUCUUCAUGCUUUUGAGGUCUUUAUCACCUUCUUAGAUGAUUUUGGUUUCUCUCAAUUUAAUAUUUGAUGCAAUUUCUCUUUUUCCAUUUCAUUUUAUCCAUGAUCACCACUUUUUUGUUUACGAGUUUGAGUUUGUAAAGCUUUGACAUGUCCUUAGAUUUUUUAUUUAAAUAUAUUUUUAGUUUUUGCAAUUAUAACCUUAAGUUUUUUUUUUGGUUUACAUCUUACAAAUUAGAUUCAUCUUAAAAUGAUCCAUCGGUCCAACUUCUAUUAAAAAAAAUGUCAAGUGAUAAACUUUGUUAAAUGACAUAAAAAUUAAUUAAAUAAUUAACAUUAUUAAUCUAUAUACAAUUAAAUGAUUAGCAUCAUCUAACCUGAAUAUGAACUAAACAAUUAUCAAUAAAUAAUUUAAAACAUAAUAUUUUUUAACUUAAAAAUAAUCUCAUGUUUUUUAAGUACCCCUCUUCCCUGAAACAAACCUAACAUCGCAAACUUGUCUUCUUCGUAAUUCUCCGGUGGCGAUGUUGUCUUGUCUCUCAUCAGCAAAGGCGGCAAUUUGUGACUCAUUCAGAUACCACAAUUUCUUUUGCGGAGGAGAUAAACGACAACCACAAAGAUGUUAUGCUGGUAAACACCGUGACCAAAAAUGGAAUUGGAAGCUAGAAAGAACACAUAACUCGCGAAACAGAAGACAAGACACGUUGGUGGUCGGAACUAACAUUGUCGCACAAGGAGAAACAAAGUUGUUUGAGAAAGAAGAGGGAGACAAAGACACAAUGGUGGUGAGAAGAUGGAGAGAAUAGGGGGCGGCUGUGAAGAGGGAGAGAUAAGGGAAUGAAUGUAAGAGGGACACAAUGAAAAUUAGGGUUCCCAAUUUUGAUCUCCCUUUCAAAAAAUAAUCUGAUUUCAAAUCUCUAUUUUAUUCUUUAUUAAAAAGAUUUAUUUAAAAUAUUGACAAGUUAGCUUAAAAGUGUUUUUUUUUUUUUAAAAGAAGUUAGACAUAAGGACCAUUUGAAAAUGAAUCUAAAUUUGUAGGGAUAUUAACCAAACAAAAAACCUUACCAGUGACUUCUUAAAAGCUAGGUUAAACUAACUAUUAAACUAACUUUAAA
rnacentral:lncRNA from 1 species